UACGGAGGGUGCAAGCGUUAAUCGGAAUUACUGGGCGUAAAGCGCGCGUAGGCGGCUAGGUCAGUGAGGUGUGAAAGCCCUGGGCUCAACCUGGGAACUGCAUCUCAUACUGCCUGGCUAGAGUACGAGAGAGGGGGGUAGAAUUCCAGGUGUAGCGGUGAAAUGCGUAGAGAUCUGGAGGAAUACCGGUGGCGAAGGCGGCCCCCUGGACAAAGACUGACGCUCAGGUGCGAAAGCGUGGGGAGCAAACAGG
rnacentral:rRNA from 1 species